CUACGGGAGGCAGCAGUAGGGAAUCUUCCGCAAUGGNCGAAAGUCUGACNGAGCACCGCCNCGUGAGUGAUGAAGGUUUUCGGAUCGUAAANCUCUGUUGUUAGGGAAGAACAAGUNCCGUUCGAAUAGGGCGGCGCCUU
rnacentral:rRNA from 1 species